GGCUUUGUAGUCGAAAAGAUAUUAGGCUGCAAUCCUAAAGAUGUAAAAUUACCUUAGCCU
rnacentral:tRNA from 1 species